AUUGAACGCUGGCGGCGUGCUUAACACAUGCAAGUCGAUCGGUAACGCGGGGGCAACCCUGGCGACGAGAGGCGGACGGGUGAGGAACGCUUGGGAAUCUGCCUAUCAGCGGGGGACAACACGGGGAAACUCGUGCUAAUACCGCAUACGCUCUACGGAGGAAAGCCGGGGACCGCAAGGCCUGGCACUGAUAGAUGAGCCCAAGCCGGAUUAGCUAGUUGGCGGGGUAACGGCCCACCAAGGCGACGAUCCGUAGCUGGUCUGAGAGGACGAUCAGCCACACGGGGACUGAGACACGGCCCAGACUCCUACGGGAGGCAGCAGUGGGGAAUAUUGGACAAUGGGGGAAACCCUGAUCCAGCGACGCUGCGUGGGUGAAGAAGGCCUGCGGGUUGUAAAGCCCUUUCGGUAGGGACGAAAGCUCUCGACCUAACACGUCGGGAGGUUGACUUAACCUACAAAAGAAGCACCGGCUAACUCUGUGCCAGCCGCCGCCGUAAUAC
rnacentral:rRNA from 1 species